GAUGAACGCUGGCGGCGUGCCUAAUACAUGCAAGUCGAGCGAACGGACGAGAAGCUUGCUUCUCUGAUGUUAGCGGCGGACGGGUGAGUAACACGUGGAUAACCUACCUAUAAGACUGGGAUAACUUCGGGAAACCGGAGCUAAUACCGGAUAAUAUUUUGAACCGCAUGGUUCAAAAGUGAAAGACGGUCUUGCUGUCACUUAUAGAUGGAUCCGCGCUGCAUUAGCUAGUUGGUAAGGUAACGGCUUACCAAGGCAACGAUGCAUAGCCGACCUGAGAGGGUGAUCGGCCACACUGGAACUGUGACACGGUCCAGACGCCUACGGGAGGAAGCAGUAGGGAAUCUUCCGCAAUGGGCGAAAGCCUGACGGAGCAACGCCGCGUGAGUGAUGAAGGUCUUCGGAUCGUAAAACUCUGUUAUUAGGGAGGAACAGAUGUGUAAGUAACUGUGCACAUCUUGACGGUACCUAAUCAGAAAGCCACGGCUAACUACGUG
rnacentral:rRNA from 1 species